GUUGUGAAUUUCAUGGAUCUGUGAUUGCUGGUGGGGGAGCACGGUCAAGUGCAAAGGUUUAUUAAAUGAAUUGUUAUUUUUAUUUUUUUUGUUUUAUGUUGAGUUUCAUAAAUAUAUUCAUAGAGUUAGGUCUAUUUAUGAAUCACCAACUAAUGAUAUGUGGUUUUUCGUUUUCUUUUUUGGCUGUGUUUGUUUUCAAUUGCAUUGAACAACAUGCUCAUGCUCAUGGUGUUCAUGCAUCAAAGAG
rnacentral:lncRNA from 1 species